UGGGGAACUUUUGGACAAUGGGCGAAAGCCUGAUCCAGCAAUGCCGCGUGUGUGAAGAAGGCCUUCGGGUUGUAAAGCACUUUUGUCCGGAAAGAAAUCCUUGGCUCUAAUACAGUCGGGGGAUGACGGUACCGGAAGAAUAAGCACCGGCUAACUACGUGCCAGCAGCCGCGGUAAUACGUAGGGUGCAAGCGUUAAUCGGAAUUACUGGGCGUAAAGCGUGCGCAGGCGGUUUGCUAAGACCGAUGUGAAAUCCCCGGGCUCAACCUGGGAACUGCAUUGGUGACUGGCAGGCUAGAGUAUGGCAGAGGGGGGUAGAAUUCCACGUGUAGCAGUGAAAUGCGUAGAGAUGUGGAGGAAUACCGAUGGCGAAGGCAGCCCCCUGGGCCAAUACUGACGCUCAUGCACGAAAGCGUGGGGAGCAAACAGGAUUAGAUACCCUGGUAGUCCACGCCCUAAACGAUGUCAACUAGUUGUUGGGGAUUCAUUUCCUAGUAACGUAGCUAACGCGUGAAGUUGACCGCCUGGGGAGUACGGUCGCAAGAUUAAAACUUAAAGGAAUUGACGGGGUCAUAGCUGUUUCCU
rnacentral:rRNA from 1 species